rnacentral:rRNA from 1 species
UAUUUAUUAGAUAAAAAACCAACGCCCUUCGGGGCUCCUUGGUGAAUCAUAAUAACUUAACGAAUCGCAUGGCCUUGCGCCGGCGAUGGUUCAUUCAAAUUUCUGCCCUAUCAACUUUCGAUGGUAGGAUAGUGGCCUACCAUGGUGGCAACGGGUAACGGGGAAUUAGGGUUCGAUUCCGGAGAGGGAGCCUGAGAAACGGCUACCACAUCCAAGGAAGGCAGCAGGCGCGCAAAUUACCCAAUCCCGAUACGGGGAGGUAGUGACAAUAAAUACUGAUACGGGGCUCUUUUGGGUCUCGUAAUUGGAAUGAGAACAAUUUAAAUCCCUUAACGAGGAACAAUUGGAGGGCAAGUCUGGUGCCAGCAGCCGCGGUAACUCCAGCUCCAAUAGCGUAUAUUAAAGUUGUUGCAGUUAAAAAGCUCGUAGUUGAACCUUGGGUCUGGCUGGCCGGUCCGCCUCACCGCGAGUACUGGUCCGGCUGGACCUUUCCUUCUGGGGAACCUCAUGGCCUUCACUGGCUGUGGGGGGAACCAGGACUUUUACUGUGAAAAAAUUAGAGUGUUCAAAGCAGGC